GCAGACACAUUCCAGCCAAUCAGCAGCAGACCCUCCCUCCCAGACCCUCCCACCUCCUGGACAGCAUCCAUUCAUUGUGAAGCUGCAUUCUUAGUGAGCUGUCCAGGAGGUGGGAGGGUCUGGGAGGGAGGGUCUGCUGCUGAUUGGCUGGAAUGUGUCUG